AGCAGUACCGCGGUAAUACGAAGGGUGCAAGCGUUACUCGGAAUUACUGGGCGUAAAGCGUGCGUAGGUGGUGGUUUAAGUCCGUUGUGAAAGCCCUGGGCUCAACCUGGGAAUUGCAGUGGAUACUGGGUCACUAGAGUGUGGUAGAGGAUAGUGGAAUUUCCGGUGUAGCAGUGAAAUGCGUAGAGAUCGGAAGGAACAUCUGUGGCGAAGGCGACUAUCUGGGCCAACACUGACACUGAGGCACGAAAGCGUGGGGAGCAAACAGGAUUAGAUACCCGGGUAGUCCCUGUCUCUUAUACA
rnacentral:rRNA from 1 species